rfam:Parastrongyloides trichosuri strain KNP genome assembly, scaffold: PTRK_scaffold0000004
CCAACGGCCCUCUUUAGGGCCACCCAGUAUUAUGGUUGUAUAAAAA